rnacentral:rRNA from 1 species
UACGUAGGGGGCAAGCGUUGUCCGGAUUUAUUGGGCGUAAAGAGCGUGUAGGCGGCCAGGUAGGUCAGCUGUGAAAACUCGAGGCUCAACCUCGAGAUGUCGGCUGAAACCAUCUGGCUAGAGUCCGGAAGAGGAGAAUGGAAUUCCCGGUGUAGCGGUGAAAUGCGCAGAUAUCGGGAAGAACACCCGUGGCGAAGGCGGUUCUCUGGGACGGUACUGACGCUGAGACGCGAAAGCGUGGGGAGCGAAUAGG